AAAGAGUAAAAUAGUUUUUAUUUUAAUUGAAAAUGAAAAUGCAAGUUAAAAGUAUUUGAAUGUACUGUAAUGGUUAUUCAGCCAAAUAAUAUCAGUAGAAAUCCGCUGUAGAUUGCUAGGAUGAGAAACGGAACCUUUCUGUCAUAGUCCGUGUUUCCAGGUGCUCCCUCCCCUCAGAGGAGUUUUGGAAACGAAAGAGAAUGGUUCGGUGUUCUUGAUCCUGUGAUCAUUCACUCUGUUUUUCAGGUUAGUACAACGUGAAAACAACCUCAACUUAUCCCUUAAGAUUCAAUAGUUUAUGUGAAGUUACUGGGAGACCGUUUAUGACAUUUUUGAGUGCUUUAGAUCGAGUUUUAGACACUAUAAAAAGUCCGCGAUUUUCGCGGGUUGUGCUGCUGUUAUUGCCAUGGCAACGGGCGGCUUUGUGACACUGAAGAUGGCGCCGUCCACCGCAUGUACUAAACACAGAGAGAUGGUUGUUUAUAUUCAUCUACGAUAUUACUACUGUUGGUUACCUGAUUACUUGACAACUGUAUUUUAUUAGGUGAAGGGUUUUGUUAUCUUUACAUUUAUUAUAAUACUUUAAUAUUUCUUCUCUUUACAUUUCCAAAUAUUUGUGUUUAAGGGUUUACUGUACACUAUAUGGUUUAUGAAGAUAAGUGAGCCUUUGGUACACUUAUUGUUGUUGGAAUGGUUUGAACAUAUUUGUUAUUUUCCAUUUUUAUUCCCCAUUUGCAAUGAUGUCAGUACGUUUUAAAAAGACAUAUAGAGUAUUCUGAGCAGCUUUAAGCUAAAGAAAAUGAAAGUGAAUUCAUAUUGCACUAUAGUUGUGAUUAGCAGCACUAUAAAAACUGCACUGGCUAACAGUAUUAUUUGUACUAUUUAAUGGCAGCUAUAUGGGACUAGUACCUAUACAGAGAGUGCCCGUGGAUAUAUUUCAAUGUGAAAUGAUGAUGGGUUUAGGUGUUUAUUGAAGUCAAAGCGUGAUACUGAGUGUGAGAGGAACUAAUGUAUUUUGACAGUUAUAUGGUUAUGUUGAAUAUAACAAUAGCUUUAUGGUUAUACUGUAUGUCUGUGUUCUAUGGGAACAGAACAAACAACAACAUUACAUACUCACCUGUUUAAUGGACACUGGACACUGCACAUUCACCUACAUUCACACAUAUCAUACUUACCUGACAGUGACACACACUCACCUACUUACCUGAAACAUACGCUACCUGGAAAAAAAGGGAAUAAGAACUGUAUACAGGUUCGUAUGCACGUUGUACCUGGAAGAGGACACUGAAGGAGACACUAUUGCAGAUUUUGGGAAUAUUUUAUUGGUUGCUUGAUUGAUUGUUUUGUUAUAUAAUUGUGAAUAAAUGAGAGGAGUUUUGGAAACGAAA